CCCCAGAAGAAGGAAGAAACACAUGAAGUGAACUUAUGGAGCUCUGAUCUCAACAGCUUUAGCUGCUAAUGUAUGAUGCCUGCAGUACAAGCCUGUGUUCUAUCCUGUGUCUGUUUUGUUGAACUGUCAUUUCCAAACUCCAGUGCCAUAGGGCACCUUGUGGCCUAACAUUUCUUCUUUGGGGAAUUAAUUGAUUUUUCCUGUCUUGAGAUGUGAAGAUUCAGAGUUUGCAUGUAACUCUGUCACUUGUGUGUGCAGUAAUGCCAGCAGGAGAGCAGCUGGAGGCCACUUGGAGAACUUUCAUGUGACAGAGGAACAAAAUCAUGAACCGAUUGAUUUGUGGUACUUCUCCAACCCUUUACUACCAAACCAGUUUGUUCUUAUGUACUGUACAUGUAUGGUCUUUGUUGCUGAAUCAUUUGGCAUUGUGGAGUUUCUUUAUAAUAUAAAAAGAAUCUCUCCACCCAUACUUAAGCUCACAUUUGCUCAAAUUCCACCGAGAUGCCACAUGGAGAUUUUUGUUUUUGUUGAAUGGUUUGUUUUGCUUUUUAAAUACUAUAAAGCCAAAACAGCUGUCUUACUAUAUAGCAAAUCCUCCAGAUCAAAAGUAAUGAUGAGGUUGACCAUUCAUAUGCAUAUAGAGCUCUAAACCUACUUAACUAUAUUAAUUGUGUCACAAAACAGAUGUUCACUACUUACCUACACAUAUUGCAACUCCUAGGUAGGCAACAGUUGUAAUCAGAAUGGCCAACAUUGUUCCUUUGGGUAUAGCAGCUUGUGGGUCCUUAAAAAUUGUAAUUGCAAAAAUUGCUGUGAGUCCUUUAUAUAUUUGUAAAUUAAGAGUUUGUACUGUGAUUACUUACAAGUUAGCAAGUUUCGGUGCUGCCACUUUGUGAUAAGAAAAUAUUUUGGGGAGGGAGAAAUUGUUACCAGUUAGAUCUGUACAAGGAACUCACUCCCCAGCAUGCGGGUGGAGUCAGACACUUCUGUGGCACCAUCCUUCUCCCCUGAGUGCUGCAAAGGAGGCACUGCAGGUCCUGAUCUCCAUUUAGGGCAGUGCCACACUGUGAGACUCCCUAGCUGUACAUUUAGUGUAACUUAAAGUCCCCUUUGCACCAACACAACAGUGGCCCUUAAUCUCCUGCUUUAAGCACUCACCCAAACUACCCAUCUCAUUGUACAAUUCAGUUAGCCAGUAAGAUUAGGGAAAAACAGUCAUUUUGAAAGAAAGACACUACUAUUACUGUUGGAAACUCAUAAUCCUGAGUUAUGUCCAAAGUGAGCUCCUACCUUUCAGGUUGCUUUUAUUUUUACAUUAGAUCAGAUGUUCUCAAACUGGGGGUCGGGCCCCUCAGGGGGUCGUGAGGUUAUUACAUGGGGGGUCAAGAGCUGUCAGCCUCCACCUGAAACCGCGCU